rnacentral:miRNA from 1 species
UCCUAUUUCUUCUUUCU